rnacentral:rRNA from 1 species
UACGUAGGGUGCAAGCGUUGUCCGGAAUUAUUGGGCGUAAAGAGCUCGUAGGUGGCGGGUCACGUCGGGUGUGAAAGCCCGGGGCUCAACCCCGGGUCUGCAUUCGAUACGGGUCUGCUAGGGUCCGGCAGGGGAGACUGGGAAUUCCUGGGUGUAGCGGUGAAAUGACGCAGAUAUCAGGAGGGAACACCGGUGGCGAAGGCGGGUCUCUGGGCCGGUACCGACGCUGGAGGAGCGAAAGCCGUGGGGAGCGAACAGG